UUCUUUAGUAAAAGGCGAAAGAA
rnacentral:snRNA from 1 species